GCUGAGACCAACUGUGUUUGAAACCAGGAAUCCAUGGCUGAAGGAGCUGAUGGAGGAGCCGUGCUGGAGGCCCUGGGCUGGUGGAGGAGCUGGUGGAGGGCCUGCCUGGUGAAUGACGGCUGUCGUGGGGUAGAUGGAGCUUGACUCUGAAGUGAUCAUCACACUCCCUGCCACUUCUCGUAGAAUACUGCUACCCCAAACUACCGGCGUUUGUACCAUAUAUACCAGACGACUAAAUCUGUUUUACCACAUGUUGAAGCAAGACUUCCGCUGUUUGUUCCAGACCAGGACUCUGUCUGAGGAGAGCUGCUGGAGGAGCGGAGACGCUGGAGGACGACUAGGAAUCGACCAACAAGGAUUCCUCAACGUGUUUCUGGAGCGGAGGCGAGCUGGUAGGGGAGCUGUGAAGGGAGGAUGGAGGAUGACAUCACUCUACCAACAAGGAUUGUAAGUUUGUAUUAACCAAACAAACUGGAAAUAAAGGGCUUAAAAAUAAGACAAACUACAUGUUUGUUACCAGACUUUAGGGCCAGACUCGCGCAGUUUGUUCCAGACCAGGACUCUGGCUGAGGAGAGCUGAUGGAGGAGCCAAGACUCUGGAGGACGACAUCACUCCACCAACCAGGAUUCUCAGACAAAUUACGUUUGUAACCAGACCAGGAAUCUGGAGGACUGAUGGAGAAGCCAUACAUCUGGAAGGCAAAUCCUGAGGACCACCAGGACUCUACCAUCAAGGAUUCCUUUAUAAAUGUGCAUUAUCUGGACAUAG